rnacentral:rRNA from 1 species
UAUAUGAAAUUUGGCCUGCCCAAUGAUUAUUUUAAUGGCCGCGGUAUACUGACCGUGCAAAGGUAGCAUAAUCAUUAGUUUAUUAAUUGUGGACUCGUAUGAAUGGUUGGACGAAAUAUUAACUGUCUCAUUUUAAUUUUUAGAAUUUAAUUUUUUAGUUAAAAAGCUUAAAUUUUUUUGUUGGACGAGAAGACCCUAUAGAUCUUUAUUAUUUUUAUUAAUAUUUGUUUUUGAUUAUUUAUUUAUAUUAAUAUUUAUUUUUUUGUUGGGGUGACAUUGAGAUAUAAUUAACUCUUUAUUUUUUUACUUAAUUAUUUUUAUAUAUUUGACCUUUUAUUAUUGUUUAUAAGAUUUAGAUACCUUAGGGAUAACAGCGUAAUGUUUUUUGAGAGUUCUUAUCGACAAGAAAGAUUGCGACCUCGAUGUUGGAUUAAGAUUAUAUUUGGGUGUAGAUGUUCAAAUAUUAGGUCUGUUCGACCUUUAAAUUCUUACGUGAUCUGA